AAAAUCACGUUGUGUGCCUUAC
rnacentral:snRNA from 1 species